GGCUCAGGAUGAACGCUAGCUACAGGCUUAACACAUGCAAGUCGAGGGGAAACGAUAUUGGAAGCUUGCUUCUGAUAGGCGUCGACCGGCGCACGGGUGAGUAACGCGUAUCCAACCUGCCCAUCACUUGGGGAUAACCUUGCGAAAGUAAGACUAAUACCCAAUGACGUCUCUAGAAGACAUCUGAAAGAGAUUAAAGAUUUAUCGGUGAUGGAUGGGGAUGCGUCUGAUUAGCUUGUUGGCGGGGUAACGGCCCACCAAGGCGACGAUCAGUAGGGGGUUCUGAGAGGAAGGUCCCCCACAUUGGAACUGAGACACGGUCCAAACUCCUACGGGAGGCAGCAGUGAGGAAUAUUGGUCAAUGGACGAGAGUCUGAACCAGCCAAGUAGCGUGCAGGAUGACGGCCCUAUGGGUUGUAAACUGCUUUUAUAAGGGAAUAAAGUGGGAGUCGUGACUCUUUUUGCAUGUACCUUAUGAAUAAGGACCGGCUAAUUCCGUG
rnacentral:rRNA from 1 species